rnacentral:rRNA from 1 species
UGGCGGACGGGUGAGUAACGCGUGGAAAACCUGCCGUAUACUGGGGAUAACACUUAGAAAUAGGUGCUAAUACCGCAUAAGCGCACAGCUUCGCAUGAAGCGGUGUGAAAAACUCUGGUGGUAUACGAUGGUUCCGCGUCUGAUUAGCUAGUUGGUGGGGUAAUGGCCUACCAAGGCAACGAUCAGUAGCCGGCCUGAGAGGGUGAACGGCCACAUUGGGACUGAGACACGGCCCAAACUCCUACGGAAGGCAGCAG